rnacentral:rRNA from 1 species
CGGGUUGUAAAGCACUUUCAGCGAGGAAGAACGCCUAGUGGUUAAUACCCAUUAGGAAAGACAUCACUCGCAGAAGAAGCACCGGCUAACUCCGUGCCAGCAGCCGCGGUAAUACGGAGGGUGCAAGCGUUAAUCGGAAUUACUGGGCGUAAAGCGCGCGUAGGUGGCUUGAUAAGCCGGUUGUGAAAGCCCCGGGCUCAACCUGGGAACGGCAUCCGGAACUGUCAGGCUAGAGUGCAGGAGAGGAAGGUAGAAUUCCCGGUGUAGCGGUGAAAUGCGUAGAGAUCGGGAGGAAUACCAGUGGCGAAGGCGGCCUUCUGGACUGACACUGACACUGAGGUGCGAAAGCGUGGGUAGCAAACAGGAUUAGAUACCCUGGUAGUCCACGCCGUAAACGAUGUCGACCAGCCGUUGGGUGCCUAGAGCACUUUGUGGCGAAGUUAACGCGAUAAGUCGACCGCCUGGGGAGUACGGCCGCAAGGUUAAAACUCAAAUGAAUUGACGGGGGCCCGCACAAGCGGUGGAGCAUGUGGUUUAAUUCGAUGCAACGCGAAGAACCUUACCUACUCUUGACAUCUACAGAAGCCGGAAGAGAUUCUGGUGUGCCUUCGGGAACUGUAAGACAGGUGCUGCAUGGCUGUCGUCAGCUCGUGUUGUGAAAUGUUGGGUUAAGUCCCGUAACGAGCGCAACCCUUGUCCUUAUUUGCCAGCACGUAAUGGUGGGAACUCUAAGGAGACUGCCGGUGACAAACCGGAGGAAGGUGGGGACGACGUCAAGUCAUCAUGGCCCUUACGAGUAGGGCUACACACGUGCUACAAUGGCCGGUACAAAGGGCGGCGAGCUCGCGAGAGUCAGCGAAUCCCUUAAAGCCGGUCUCAGUCCGGAUCGGAGUCUGCAACUCGACUCCGUGAAGUCGGAAUCGCUAGUAAUCGUGAAUCAGAAUGUCACGGUGAAUACGUUCCCGGUCUUUUUUUUUUUCGCCCGUCACCCCAUGGGAGUGGACCGCACCAGAAGUGGUUAGCGUAACGCAAGAGUACGAUCA